UGGUGGUGGUGGUGGUGCUGCUGCUGCUCCUCCUCCUGCAGCCUUCCUCCUCCUCCUCCUCCUCCGGGAGGAGAAGUGGUGCUGAGCAAGGGACCUGCUGUGCCCCCUCUUCCUCUGACGUGGGCGAUAGAGCGCAGGAGGGAAAUGUCCUGCCAAAUGGAUCGGGAGCUGCCGAGUUCUUUGGAUCGGUUUCCGAAAUAGCUGUAAGAGGAGGAUGACGACGACGACGACCUCCUGCAUCCACAGGAGUAGCUCCGCAAUGUUCUCUGAGGAAAGGCUGCACCCCGCCAAGCACUUGCUUUCCUCUCCUUGACUAUACACGUUGCACAUCCUCCCUGGGAUGCUUCAGACCUUGAGUGCAACGCCUGAUGCCAGUCAGCCGCCCUUGAACGCGGGGUGGGGCGGCCGACUGACUUGCGAGUAAGGCGAAUGAUGAUACCCUGCAAGGCAGGCGAGCGGGUGCGUUUGAAUGGCCGGCCUCCCUUCGGUGAGAGGCAGGGGUGUAGCCAGGGGAGAGGGGGCCGUGUCCAUCCCUCUCUCUGGCAGCCUCCCAGAGUGAGGGACAUAAUGAAGAAAAUAGGGAGAGGUGGACCUGGAGGGCCCUCAGGAGCUGGGGGCCCCAGGUUCUUUGAAUUCACCCUAUAAUUCAUUCUCUCAGUUAUAGCUGUGCCCCUGGUGAGAGGUGUACUGGGUCAUAUAUAUAUAUUUUUUUAAAUGCCUCUUUUGCAUUUUUAGUACAUAAACUCUGUAAUCUUGAUUUUCUGCGGCGGGGGGGCAGCUUUUAAGAAAAUGUGUCCUCUGGUUCUUGAGCACUGGUUGCCCCAUUGGGGGGUGGGGACUCCAGGGACAAACAAGUAUGCCUGAACGCCACGUGCAGCUUGACCCUUGGAUGACCACUAGAUAAAUAUACCUCCUCAACUGGCAGGAAAGUCAGUAUCCUGGAAGCUUCGCUCUUCCUCAUCUAUUUUCUUUGGAAGCUGCCUCUAACUGCAUUUGGAACUUGGACUGUUUGUUUUUGUUUGUUAUCUUUUUAAAUCAUUACAGUAUGCUCACACCUGAGAAGAAUAUUGCUUAGAAAUGUAUCAGACAUAACAGAAAUAAAACAUAUUUUUGUAGAUUUAUCUUUUCUCUCAAAUUAUUCCAAACAUACAGUAUUCUUGCUGAUAAUUCCUUUUGCUUGAUGCAUAUGGAGAUAUAUAGAUAUCUCCACUCCAAUUGACCACAAGUAUUUUUUUUUGUUCUUCCAACCCACUUCUGGCACUAUAACUAUGAACAGCUCCUUUAUUCAACACGUUUGAAUAGGGCUAUGAUGUAUGAGUGUACAGAUGUCUGUACACUCCUACAUGUUUUUCUGUGAAUGUACAUUUUAAAAGUGAACCUGGGUACAGACCCCUCAAGUGCAUGGUACCGAUAAGUUUACUGCUGCAGCUGUGUAUAUUUGUAUGUUGAUCAUAAAGUGUGAAUAGGGCUUCACUCCAUAUAGAAGUAAUUUUUAUUUAUUCUUCCAGAUGACUAAAGAAAUUCCUCAGUAGAACAAAAAGGCCCUCGUAUGGAAGCAACCCAUGUAAAUGUAAUGGUGAUCUGACCAUUAAAGACAACUCCAGAAGGGGCAUCUAAUUAAUCUAGUGAGCACCAGGUGUGUGGCUGUAGUGAUCAGCCUCCCCCUCCCUCUAAAGAGUUAACAGGGAGUGAACCCUUGUCUUGACUGACCAGCUGGUGAACUCCAGGACAGCCAAUCAGUACACCAGUUGGGUGGGACCUAGAGAGCGGUUGCUGGGAAUUCUGGGAACAAGAAGGGCAAUCUGUGCUGAAGAAACGCAUGCGGAAAGGCUUAAUGAGGGUCAUGCAGUUUUUGCUCACUCAGGGUCGAAGCCAGCAUGGAGGUUUUUCUCAUGGCAUAGAAAAAUAGGAAGCUGCCAUAUACUGUGUCAGCCCACUGGUCUAUCUAGCUCAGUAUUGUCUUCACAGACUGGCAGCAGCUUCUCCAAGGUUGUAGGCAGAGAUCUCUCUCAAGUCUAUCUUGGAGAAGCCAGGGAGGGAACUUGAAACCUUCUGCUCUUCCCAGAGCAGCUCCAUCCCCUGAGGGGAAUGUCUUGCAGUGCUCACACUUCUAAUCUCUGAAUAACUUCAGACCCUUGAGAGACAAGAUUGCAGGAAGCUUGAUUCUCAUCAGGUCUUGUGUGAGUUUUAAAGAAAAAGGGGAUUCAGCAUAGGGAACAGUUUGUUAGUCAGAUUUUGUGUUAGAAACUUAUAUUUAUUUGUGUGUGUGCUUUACAUAUUCCUGAUACUGCUCUAUUAUUGUUUACCUGCAAUGUAAUUAAAAUAAGAUACACUAGCCUACACCCAACCCACCUAAGGCAUUGCAAAAGACUGCAAACUUUUAAACGUGCCUAAAUGCAAACUGAAACUGAAGUCUAGGAACCUAUUUUUGUAACCUACUAAGUAUUUUUGAGUGUAUUUAAAACCUAAACACCUCAGAUGAAGCAAUCUGUAGUAAUUGAAUAAAACUGUUUUUUGUUUU